CUGAGACCAUCGGGACCAGCUAGUGCCCAGCUGAGCUGGCAGCUUGCUCCAGAUGCAGAGGCGAGGCCCAGUUGAGGCCACCUGAGCCCAACCCAGAUCCAAAGAACCAUUCAGACCAUCCACAGACUUUUCUGGAGCUGGGAAGUGCA
rnacentral:lncRNA from 1 species